GUUUUGGCGUAAAUUUUAAACGCGCUCCUCCCUCUCCCUCUCCCUCUCUCUCUCUCUCUCAUCAUCUCUCCAGACUCCCCCACCAAAAACAAAAAUUAAAUAUAAAAAAAAUUCCAAAUAAUUUGUUUUGUCUCUGUAAAUCACGAGGAGGAAGCUCUUUGAUUAUAAAGAAAGAGUUUUCUCAGAUCGGGGGGACACUGUUCCCACUUCCAAUCCAACCCUCCGAUCCCCAUCGUAACCCACAUUGCCCCGGAUCCCAUCGCGCAUUUCUAAUUUUUUUUUUAUUCGAUUUGUUUUGGAUGCGAUUUGAUUCUUUGUAUUAGCAUUUGUUUCGAUUCGAUUCGGUUAUGCGGUUCGAAGCCGAUUGGAUUUGAUUGGGAGAUUUCUGAGGAUCUGUGAGCUUUGUGAUGAUCUGAAGGAUUGGAUUGGAUUGGAUUUGAUUUGAUUUGAUUUGAUUUGAUUGCUUUGUGUUGGAGAGAUGGAUCCGUUAUCUGCAAUCAGCGAAGAGCUGGCGGAGAUCGACGGACAAAUCGCCGAUAUCUUCCGUGCAUUGUCAAAUGGGUUUCAAAAGCUGGAGAAGAUUAAGGACUCGAAUAGGCAGAGUAGGCAGCUGGAAGAGCUCACUGACAAGAUGCGAGACUGUAAGAGGCUUAUCAAAGAAUUUGAUCGAGAAGUCAAGAAUAUGGAGAGAAUAAAUGACCCAAAUACCAGUAGAAUGCUGAAUGAGAAAAAGCAGUCAAUGAUCAAAGAGUUGAAUUCAUAUGUGGCUCUGAAGAAACAAUACGCAUCAAACCUUGAAAACAAGAAAAUUGAUCUCUUUGAUGGGCCGGCAGAAGACUUUGGGGAACAAAAUGUCUUGCUAGCCUCGGCUAUGACGAAUCAACAACUUAUGGAUAAUGGAAACCAAAUGAUGAAUGAGACAGAUCAAGCCAUUGAGAGAUCAAAAAAGGUUGUUCAUGAAACCAUCAAUGUUGGAACAGAGACAACACAAGCUCUCAAGGCUCAAACUGAACAAAUGAGCAGGAUUGUCAACGAGCUGGACUCUAUUCAUUUCUCAAUCAAGAAAGCUUCUAAGCUGGUCAAGGAAAUUGGUUGCAACUGAUAGAUGUAUUAUGGGAUUACUUGUCUUGAUUGUCAUUGGGGUCAUAGCCAUCAUUAUUGUGAAGCUGGUUCAUCCAAACAACAAGAACAUUCCAGAUAUUCCUGGAUUAGCCCCUCCUGCAAUGACUCGAAAGUUACUGUGGAAUCCAUACUGAGGAGAGAUCAAAAUGGACCAUGUCAUGAGAUUGCCAAGAUGGUUCGUGCUCAAAUGAACGUUAGCUUUUACCCUGUUUUACGGAGCAGAUACGGAAGCUAUAUCCCGGUAAGUUUUGCUCUGAAGGCCAGCUGAUUUUCGAGAAAGCCAGUCUUACUACUGUUGUUGUGCCUUGUGUUAUUGGCUGCAGUUGCAUGAGAUAUGUAUUAUCACUGUUUCUUCCCUCUGACGGUAUACAAGGUGUAUUUUAGGAUGUAUUGGUUCUCAUACAUUAUUUACCCUUUGGUUGUAUUUGUAGUCACUUUUUACCCAAUCUUUGUUUGGUAAAUUAUUUCAUGUACCAAAUUAAUAUUCAAAUUUCAAAGUGAAUUUCAAUUUUCGUGGAUUGAAUGCA